rnacentral:misc_RNA from 1 species
CAACCCUCAAGCUAUGCUUGGUAUUGGGCGUCGUCCUUAGCUGGGCGCGCCUUAAAGACCUCGGCGAGGCCACUCCGGCUUUAGGCGUAGUAGAAUUCAUUCGAACGUCUGUCAAAGGAGAGGAACUCUGCCGAUUGAAACCUUUAUUUUUCUA